rnacentral:rRNA from 1 species
CCUACGGGAGGCAGCAGUGAGGAAUAUUGGUCAAUGGACGAGAGUCUGAACCAGCCAAGUAGCGUGAAGGAUGACUGCCCUCUGGGUUGUAAACUUCUUUUAUAUGGGAAUAAAAUGUUCCACGUGUGGGAUUUUGUAUGUACCAUAUGAAUAAGGAUCGGCUAACUCCGUGCCAGCAGCCGCGGUAAUACGGAGGGUCCGAGCGUUAUCCGGAUUUAUUGGGUUUAAAGGGAGCGUAGGUGGAUUGUUAAGUCAGUUGUGAAAGUUUGCGGCUCAACCGUAAAAUUGCAGUUGAAACUGGCAGUCUUGAGUACAGUAGAGGUGGGCGGAAUUCGUGGUGUAGCGGUGAAAUGCUUAGAUAUCACGAAGAACUCCGAUUGCGAAGGCAGUUCACUGGACUGCAACUGACACUGAGGCUCGAAAGUGUGGGUAUCAAACAGGAUUAGAUACCCUUGUAGUC